rnacentral:rRNA from 1 species
AGAGCGAACGGUGGAUGCCUUGGCUAGUAGAGGCGAUGAAAGACGUGCCAGGCUGCGAUAAGUCUCGGGGAGCCGUCAAGGGGCUUUGAUCCGGGAAUUUCUGAAUGGGGCAACCCAAUACAUAGCGAUAUGUGUUACCAUUAAUGGAGCCAACGCGGGGAACUGAAACAUCUAAGUACCCGCAGGAAGAGAAAUCAAUAGAGAUUACGCUAGUAGCGGCGAGCGAACGCGUAAGAGGGCAAACCACUAGUUUACUAGUGGGGUUGUAGGACCGCAACAUAGACUAGGAUCUGAUAAUAGAACAAUCUGGAAAGAUUAAGCAUAGAGGGUGAUACUCCCGUAUAUGAAAUCACAUCCUUACUUAGCGGUAUCCUGAGUAGGACGGGACACGUGAAAUCCUGUCUGAAGCCGGGUCGACCACGAUCCAACCCUAAAUACUACUACUAGACCGAUAGCGCACAAGUACCGUGAGGGAAAGGUGAAAAGAACUGAGGUGAUCAGAGUGAAAUAGAACCUGAAACCAUUUACUUACAAUCAUUCAGAGCACUAUGUGGGUCUGUUUGAAUAUUAAAGACGGCUUGUCUUUUGGCGAUAAAUUAAUGAGUUCGAUUUUUUCUCAAUCGAUAGGCUAAAAGCCUUAUCUCAAUCGAAAAAAUUUCACAACAUUAAUUUCUCAUCCAAAAUACCGCGCCUUUGGGCGGGUAUAUCUUGUUUUUACAAUUUUUUUAUAAAUCAUCGGAUUAAAUUUGAAAUUUUAAAAGUAAAGAGAGAUAGAGCUUUUAAAAUCAAAAUUUCAAACCGUAGAUUAAAUUUAAAUAGAUCAAAUUUAAAAUUUAAAUCAAACAAGGUAAGACAAUCCAAGAUUAGUAUUGAAACAGAUCCACAGUGUGAUGGACUGCCUUUUGCAUAAUGAGCCUGCGAGUUGUGGUGUCUGGCGAGGUUAAGGAAACCCGGAGCCGUAGCGAAAGCGAGUCUUAAUAGGGCGAUUAGUCAGAUGCUGCAGACCCGAAACGAUGUGAUCUAUCCAUGAGCAGGUUGAAGCCGGUGUAAGAGCCGGUGGAGGACCCAACCGACGGCCGUUGAAAAGGCUCCGGAUGACUUGUGGAUAGGGGUGAAAGGCCAAUCAAACAUCGUGAUAGCUGGUUCUCUCCGAAAUAUAUUGAGGUAUAGCGUCGUGUAGUAGUUAUAAGGGGUAGAGCACUGAAUGGGCUAGGGCAUACACCAAUGUACCAAACCCUAUCAAACUCCGAAUACUUAUAGCGUAACCACGGCAGUCAGGCGGCGAGUGAUAAAAUCCGUCGUCAAGAGGGAAACAACCCGGACUAACAGCUAAGGUCCCCAAAUCUCAUUUAAGUGGAAAACGAUGUGAAGUUACUGAAACAACCAGGAGGUUGGCUUAGAAGCAGCCAUCCUUUAAAGAUAGCGUAAUAGCUCACUGGUCUAGUGAUUUUGCGCGGAAAAUAUAACGGGGCUAAAAUGAGUACCGAAGCUUUAGACUUGCACUUAAUCAUUUAUACUUGGCUUGGCUUUUGAGCGUCUUUAAAUGAGCUCGUAAAAAUAAAUGCUCACGAACUAUAUGUUCGCUCCGCUUUAUUUUUACGUCGCAACAUUUAAAUCCAUCUCAAAACAAGCGAAGCGCUUUUUGCGGAAGCAAAAAUGUUUCUUUGAAAAAUCCUGCGCCAUCUUGAGUUCAAAUUUGAACUAAACGUCUUAAUCUAAAAUUCUAUAAAUUUUAAAUUUCUUAGAAUUUUAAAAUUUAGCAACAAAAGCAAAAAGACAAGCCGCAAGAAAAGUAUAAAUCAUUAAGUGCAAGUGGUAGGAGAGCGUUCCAAUCAGCGUCGAAGCCGUACCGGUAAGGAGCGGUGGAGCGGUUGGAAGUGAGCAUGCAGGCAUGAGUAGCGAUAAAAUACGUGAGAAUCGUAUUCGCCGUAAACCCAAGGUUUCCUACGCGAUGCUCGUCAUCGUAGGGUUAGUCGGGUCCUAAGCAAAGUCCGAAAGGGGUAUGCGAUGGAAAAUCGGUUAAUAUUCCGAUACCGAUAUCAGUGUGCGACGGAAGGACGCUUAAAGUUAGUGGAGCUAGCGGAUGGAAGUGCUAGUCUAAGGAAGUAGGUUGAGUUAUAGGCAAAUCCGUAACUCUUUAUCCGAGAUCUGAAAGGCUUCUGACGCUCUUCGGAGUAGAUGAAGAAUCCAUGAUACUAUCGAGCCGAGAAAAGUUUCUAAGUUUAGCUGAUAUUGCCCGUACCGUAAACCGACACAGGUGGGUGGGAUGAGUAUUCUAAGGCGCGUGGAAGAACUCUCUUUAAGGAACUCUGCAAAAUAGCACCGUAUCUUCGGUAUAAGGUGUGCCUAGCUUCGUUAAGAAUUUACUUCGUAAGCGAAGAAGGUUACAACAAAGAGUCCCUCCCGACUGUUUACCAUAAACACAGCACUCUGCUAACUCGUAAGAGGAUGUAUAGGGUGUGACGCCUGCCCGGUGCUCGAAGGUUAAUUGAUGACGUUA